rnacentral:rRNA from 1 species
AGCGAACGCUGGCGGCAGGCCUAACACAUGCAAGUCGAACGGAUCCUUCGGGAUUAGUGGCGGACGGGUGAGUAACACGUGGGAACGUGCCCUUUGGUUCGGAACAACUCAGGGAAACUUGAGCUAAUACCGGAUGUGCCCUUAGGGGGAAAGAUUUAUCGCCAUUGGAGCGGCCCGCGUCUGAUUAGCUAGUUGGUGAGGUAACGGCCCACCAAGGCGACGAUCAGUAGCUGGUUUGAGAGGAUGAUCAGCCACACUGGGACUGAGACACGGCCCAGACUCCUACGGGAGGCAGCAGAGUGGAAUCUUGCGCAAUGGGCGAAAGCCUGACGCAGCCAUGCCGCGUGAAUGAUGAAGGUCUUAGGAUUGUAAAAUUCUUUCAGCGGGGACGAUAAUGACGGUACCCGCAGAAGAAGCUCCGGCUAACUUCGUG